CUGAAGGAGACUAAGGAGAACAGUUACGCCUCGACACACCAGGACAAGCAACAAAACUAACCCUCCCCUACCAGCCCAGGGCGGCCGGGUGAGCACCGGCCGGUCAGGGACACACAGGGAGCAAAGCAACCUUAGCUAGCAGGGGGAGAUGCUCACAGCACUACCAACUUACAACAACAAAAACAAGGCAAAAAAAAAAACAAAACAAAACAAAAAAAAAAACCACCUAUAGUUAAUCUCUGGGAAGGGUACGCCGUCACUUGAGGGCUGAAGCCCGCUGACCUGAGAGCAAGCUCCGACCCGUGCCGCCGGCUGGGCGGGAAGCGCGAAAGCACCGCCUCACACUCAGCCCCGCACGCACCGGCGACCGUCAGAAGCACCGCCGCGCAGGGAAACAUCCUGAAGGGAAGGGUCUCCCGCCUUGAGCCUUGCCUCAGCUGAGCGCCAUGUGAGGCGCUGCGGCGAUAAUUGCGCUUAAAGGCUGCUGGUGCUUGUCGGCCGUGUUUGAUAACCAUGGCUGCCUGGAAGUCCUGAUUUGAUGUAUUAUGGAGACUUGCAAAAUUCUGCAGCUACAGCAAAAAGAUCUUAACUCCUGUGUAGGCUGUCCCAGGAAGAUAGCACUGGUGUCUGACAAAAAGUUGUUUUCACAUGAGGAGGAAAAAGUAAAUGUUUCCAAAAAAGAAGCAGCAGAUGUAAUUGUCCCAUCACAACAUUCUUUCCAUUUUUUUUCCCCCUUAACCCAUGUAUUUGGGGAGCCAUGAGAUGUUUAAAUCAGGAUUCUACUUUGCCUACAUUCUCUCUGCAGCCAAAAGAGAAUAAAAUUGUCUCUGGAGAGCA
rnacentral:lncRNA from 1 species